AUACGGAGGGUGCAAGCGUUAAUCGGAAUUACUGGGCGUAAAGGGUGCGUAGGCGGUUUAAUAAGUCGGGUGUGAAAGCCCCAAGCUCAACUUGGGAAUUGCAUCCGAUACUGUUGAACUAGAGUGUGGUAGAGGGAAGCGGAAUUCCGGGUGUAGCGGUGAAAUGCGUAGAUAUCCGGAGGAACACCAGUGGCGAAGGCGGCUUCCUGGACCAACACUGACGCUCAAGCACGAAAGCGUGGGGAGCAAACAGGAUUAGAAACCCCAGUAGUCC
rnacentral:rRNA from 1 species